GACGAACGCUGGCGGCAUGCCUAAUACAUGCAAGUCGAGCGAACAGAUGAAGUGCUUGCACUUCUGACGUUAGCGGCGAACGGGUGAGUAACACGUAAGGAAUCUACCUAUAAGCGGGGGAUAACAUUCGGAAACAGGUGCUAAUACCGCAUAAUAUCUUCUUCCGCAUGGAAGAAGAUUGAAAGACGGCUCUGCUGUCACUUAUAGAUGACCUUGCGGUGCAUUAGUUAGUUGGUGGGGUAACGGCCUACCAAGACGAUGAUGCAUAGCCGACCUGGGAGGGUGAUCGGCCACAUUGGGACUGAGACACGGCCCAAACUCCUACGGGAGGCAGCAGUAGGGAAUCUUCCGCAAUGGGCGAAAGCCUGACGGAGCAAUGCCGCGUGAGUGAAGAAGGCCUUCGGGUCGUAAAACUCUGUUAUAAGAGAAGAACAAAUUGUAGAGUAACUGCUACAGUCUUGACGGUAUCUUAUCAGAAAGCCACGGCUAACUACGUGCCAGCAGCCGCCGUAA
rnacentral:rRNA from 1 species